rnacentral:misc_RNA from 1 species
GUCCACAGGAAGUGCUUCUAAUUUUUCCAAGAUUGACAAUGUUGGUGAAAGGAAAAGACUUCUUAUUUCCUACUGGACCAGAGAUGCAAUUGUAGUGUUAUAUUCUGGCUUUAUUUUCUGUAUUUUUGUUCUCAUGUUGGAUUGAUGAUAUUGAGAGGGCAAAGGAGUUAAUUGUUGGGUUAUGUUAAUUCUUUUAUUUCUAAUGACUUUCUACUCUUUGUUAUAUUUCUUCCUUUUUGUGUUCCCCUCCCAAACCCCAUUUUUG